AGAACCAAGUAUAAAAAGAAGAGACGAUACGGCAUGCUUGCAUGCAGGUGUCGUCUCUUCUUUUUAUGCAGGUGACUCGAAUAGAGUCACCGCCCCGGACAUGAGCAAAAGAGCUGCGAAGCAGCGGAAAAGCGCGAGGGACGCGCGAUUUUGCGAAUGAGCGGGGAUGGUUCU
rnacentral:sRNA from 1 species